CCGGACCACGACCAGCGAGUUGUCUUGUCUGAUAUUUGAGGAAGGUAGCGUUGGCUUUGCGAACGUGUUAUAGCCUCGGAUUCGGAGCGAGCGGCGCGUUGGAUGAAUCGAUGCCUGCCCUUUGGGCUCGUACGUUGUCUCUUAUUAGGGUGUAUCUGGCUUCACUGCCUCGGCAGGGGUGUUGGAGACGCUUUGGUUCGAGAUGGCCUCUGCGAUUGGCAUCUACAGUCAGUGGUUUCGAAGUAGGCAGUCCACCUGACCCGUCUUGAAACACGGACCAAGGAGUCUAACAUGUGCGCGAGUCAUUGGGCUCUACGAAACCUAAAGGCGCAGUGAAAGUGAAGAUCCAUUUGGUGGAUUGAGGUAGGAUCCUGGGUUACGUGCUCAGGCGCACUACCGGCCCGUCCGACAUGUUCUCAUGCGGGCGGAGCAAGAGCGUACACGUUGGGACCCGAAAGAUGGUGAACUAUGCUUGCGCAGGUCGAAGCCAGAGGAAACUCUGGUGGAGGACCGUAGCGAUUCUGACGUGCAAAUCGAUCGUCAAACGUGAGUAUAGGGGCGAAAGACUAAUCGAACCAUCUAGUAGCUGGUUCCCUCCGAAGUUUCCCUCAGGAUAGCUGGCACUCGGGAAAUGAAACAGUUUUAUCCGGUAAAGCGAAUGAUUAGAGGUAUUGGGACGAAACUGCUCUCAACCUAUUCUCAAACUUUA
rnacentral:rRNA from 1 species